rnacentral:rRNA from 1 species
CAAUAGCGUAUAUUAAAGUUGUUGCGGUUAAAAAGCUCGUAGUUGGAUUUGUGGCGUACGGUGUGUUCCGGGCACUUGUUGUCUGAGUAACCUGCUGUUGCCAUCCUUGGGUGGAACCUGUGUGGCAUUAGGUUGUCGUGCAGGGGAUGCCCAUCAUUUACUGUGAAAAAAUUAGAGUGUUCAAAGCAGGCUUAUGCCGUUGAAUAUAUUAGCAUGGAAUAAUGAGAUAGGACUUUGGUACUAUUUUGUUGGUUUGCGCACCAAAGUAAUGAUUAAUAGGGACAGUUGGGGGUAUUCGUAUUCCGUUGUCAGAGGUGAAAUUCUUGGAUUUACGGAAGACGAACUACUGCGAAAGCAUUUACCAAGGAUGUUUUCAUUAA